rnacentral:rRNA from 1 species
CUGGCCAUAAACGAUGUGCACUUGGUGUUGGGCCGCGAGGCUCAGUGCCGAAGCUAACGCAUUAAGUGCACCGCCUGGGGAGUACGACCGCAAGGUUGAAACUCAAAGGAAUUGACGGGGGCCCGCACAAGCGGUGGAGCAUGUGGCUUAAUUCGACGCAACGCGAAGAACCUUACCGGGGUUUGACAUGCCUCUGCUAAUCCUGCGAAAGCAGGACUCCUUCGAGGGUGAGGCACAGGUGC